AUAUAUAUAUAUAUAUAUAUAUAUAUAUAUAUAUAUUAUUUUUCUUGCAACGCCGAACUUAUGUGGGUCAAUUUGGACCCAAGAUAUUAAACUGAGUCCUGGAAGUUGGCGGAGUGCUUGAAGCCUGCUGCAACGCCGCCAUGGGGCGGCCCGGUAUUGCACUAGCACCGGGAUUGGUCCUGACCAU